rnacentral:misc_RNA from 1 species
CCUCCACCAAAUCCGCGACCUAUUCCGCUGCUGCCAUUGCCUCCACCAUGCAAAAACUCAGGCUUAUAAAGUUUGGGGCGAGGAAGAAGGCGUAGGGAAUGAUUUUGAGGAUCAGAAAAUGGGAAAGAAGCAUCAGGGCAAUUGAGAUUAGAGAUGCGAGAAUUCUGGGAAGAAGAACUUGAAUAUUGUCUAGCAAAAACAGAGCAUCGGAGUUGGGCCGCAG